rnacentral:rRNA from 1 species
GCUUAACACAUGCAAGUCUACUUGAACUUCGGUUUGGGUGGCGGACGGGUGAGUAACGCGUAAAGGACUUGCCUCACAGUUAGGGACAACAUUUGGAAACGAAUGCUAAUACCUGAUAUUAUGAUUUUAGGGCAUCCUAAGAUUAUGAAAGUUAUAUACGCUGUGAGAGAGCUUUGCGUCCCAUUAGCUAGUUGGAGAGGUAACGGCUCACCAAGGCGAUGAUGGGUAGCCGGCCUGAGAGGGUGAACGGCCACAAGGGGACUGAGACACGGCCCUUACUCCUACGGGAGGCAGCAGUGGGGAAUAUUGGACAAUGGACCAAAAGUCUGAUCCAGCAAUUCUGUGUGCACGAUGACGUUUUUCGGAAUGUAAAGUGCUUUCAGUUGGGAAGAAAAAAAUGACGGUACCAACAGAAGAAGUGACGGCUAAAUACGUGCCAGCAGCCGCGGUAAUACGUAUGUCACAAGCGUUAUCCGGAUUUAUUGGGCGUAAAGCGCGUCUAGGUGGUUAUGUAAGUCUGAUGUGAAAAUGCAGGGCUCAACUCUGUAUUGCGUUGGAAACUGCAUGACUAGAGUACUGGAGAGGUAAGCGGAACUACAAGU